rnacentral:lncRNA from 1 species
CUUCUUCAAAAACCCUAAUAGUAUAUCAGCUCUUAAGUAAAUGACUCCGAGGCAUGUGUGAAACACAUGGAGAGGACAAAUAUCUUGAAGGUACUGUUUAAUUAUGCUCCCUAGCUCACAUUAAAACUUUUAAAAUCCCAUUUGCUUUGAUGUAAAUGAGUUUGCAACUGUCCCACAGAAAGAUGUAAAUGAGUUCGCAACUGUCCCACAGAAAUAAACUUAUUCCCCCACCAUUGUCUGUUUUUUUUUCUUUUUAACCUUCUAGUGUUAGAAAGAAAUUUGUGAUGGGCGACACCCCAGAAUACCAAAAGCAGCAGGGGCAAGAUGGGGAGCCUCGACAGGAGCCAAGCUGUUAUGUUCUUUGCAAGACCAAAGGGGAUCACCAAUUGUGGCAACCAGUCAAGUUAGUACUGACAGAUGCAAGACAACAUAACACGACCUAAAUUGGAAAGCCUGCUCUAACGUCUGGUGCAAUUGUUUCAAUGAGACAGAUCUCAAACCUCCCACGACAGAAUGGUUUCUGUGAAUAUCUUUACACCGUUGGAGUCUCUAUCUGAUCAAGUCUCCAAACUGGGAUUCCCCAUGCAUAUGUCAGAAAUUUAUGAGUGCUAAACUUGUGGAUUUCCUAAUACAGUAUUGCUAAACUGCAUCCAUCCUAACAAACAUAGCCAACGGUGAGAGUUAAAACCAGACAAGAUCUGGAGGACCAUAAGUUGUCUGCUUCAGAUCUACUCAGACAGACACAGAACUCCAGGCUGAGUUUUUUCACAACUGUUCUAUAUGGACAAGAUCCACCUACUUCAGUUGCCUGGAAACUGAGUGAAAAAGAAACCAUAUCCAGGAACAUGUACAUAGGGGUAUGGGUGAGUUUCUACAUUUUUCAAUAUUCUAGCUUCUUCUGAACUAACCACUGCAUGGGCAUAGAAUCCAUAUGUAUAAAUGCACAGAUGACCCACUGAAGAGGUAAGCAACAGGCCAGCGAUUUGUUUUUCCAGUACUGUAGUCGGUAGGUGGAAGAAGACCAGGAGAAAAAUAGGAAUUGCAGUUCUGCCUUCUCUUGAUCAAUUAUAACACACCGCCGUCUUCUGAAAAGUGGAUCUGUUCAAAAUUGUCUGCAGGAUCUGGGUGGGGUGGGGGAUGAGGCAUAGUUGCACUGUGGUAUGUUCCCAUCACACAUGUGCACAGUGCGGACGAACGCCAUAUAGUAUAUAUGUCUGGGUCAAAUAAUACAGUAAAUAAAUUUAGGAUGAAUGGGAACA